rnacentral:rRNA from 1 species
AACGAACGCUGGCGGCAGGCCUAACACAUGCAAGUCGAACGCGUCCUUCGGGACGAGUGGCAGACGGGUGAGUAACGCGUGGGAACGUACCCUUUGGUUCGGAACAACUCCGGGAAACUGGAGCUAAUACCGGAUAAGCCCUUCGGGGGAAAGGUUUAUCGCCAGAGGAUCGGCCCGCGUUAGAUUAACUUGUUGGUGAGGUAAUGGCUCACCAAGGCUACGAUCUAUAGCUGGUCUGAGAGGAUGAUCAGCCACACUGGGACUGAGACACGGCCCAGACUCUUACGGGAGGCAGCAGUGGGGAAUCUUGGACAAUGGGCGAAAGCCUGAUCCAGCCAUGCCGCGUGAAUGAUGAAGGCCCUAGGGUUGUAAAAUUCUUUCGACGGGGAAGAUAAUGACGGUACCCGUAGAAGAAGCUCCGGCUAACUUCGUGCCAGCCGCCGCAGUAAGAC